ACAAGCUGACAACACUUUAUUCAAAUUUAUAUAUUAAUCUCAAAUUACGUCGAUUGGAUGGCUAAGUCUACUGGGUACAAAUAGAGUAUAUUUAGGUAU